AUUGAACGCUGGCGGCAGGCCUAACACAUGCAAGUCGAGCGGAUGAAGGGAGCUUGCUCCUGGAUUCAGCGGCGGACGGGUGAGUAAUGCCUAGGAAUCUGCCUGGUAGUGGGGGAUAACGUCCGGAAACGGGCGCUAAUACCGCAUACGUCCUGAGGGAGAAAGUGGGGGAUCUUCGGACCUCACGCUAUCAUAUGAGCCUAGGUCGGAUUAGCUAGUUGGUGGGGUAAAGGCCUACCAAGGCGACGAUCCGUAACUGGUCUGAGAGGAUGAUCAGUCACACUGGAACUGAGACACGGUCCAGACUCCUACGGGAGGCAGCAGUGGGGAAUAUUGGACGAUGGGCGAAAGCCUGAUACAGCCAUGCCGCGUGUGUGAAGAAGGUCUUCGGAUUGUAAAGCACUUUAAGUUGGGAGGAAGGGCAGUAAGUUAAUACCUUGCUGUUUUGACGUUACCAACAGAAUAAGCACCGGCUAACUUCGUG
rnacentral:rRNA from 1 species